UUCGGCGGCACCUUCGGCGGCCGAAUGUGCUGGACAGAUCCGAAAGUCCAUUCUUUCGGAGGCAGCCUUAGGCAGCCGAAACUGCCUUCACAAGGGGUUCGGCGGCCGAAUCCUCCCUUCGGCGGCCGAACCUGAGUUCAUCCAGAACUCAGCUUCAUGCACAACCAUCUCCUGCCAAGCACCAACUCUACACAAUCAUGCAUACAC
rnacentral:lncRNA from 1 species